UAAAGUGCUUACAGUGCAGGUAGUUCCUCUGUUCAGCCUACCGCAGUGUGAGCACUUCUUGC
rnacentral:pre_miRNA from 1 species